AAAUAACAAAGAGCCAACUUUAAUAAUUAUAAAUAAACACGCCACUUUAACCUUUAUCAUUUAAUAUUUGAAAAGAUAUAUUCCUUCUAAGAUGAAGGAACAAGACACGCACAACCCAAAGGACAUGUUCAUAGCAAUAGCAAUAAGGAAAGUAGUAUAUUUAUUUACAAGAAGAAAAAAACAAAAUAAGGAAAUAUGAUUAUUAGAUCUUAAUUAUCUCCUCCAGUGGUUGAUUUUGGCUUCUUCACAAUCAAAACAGGGCACUUCACAUUCUGUGCACAGUGGUUGCUCACACUUCCAAGGAAAGCCCUGCCAUUCAACAAUAAUAUCCAGAACCAAAUUAAAUUUACAAUUCACAACACAUGUACCUUAGCUCAUUCUAACAAAAAUAACUUUACAAUUCAAAUAUAGAGGUGACACAUCUUAGGUAAGACACAUAUUGGUGGUCUUAAAUCGAGAUCAGAUGGUCGAUAUUUCAAGCACAAUAUUUCUCUAAAGAAAAUCAAUAUAUGCAUGAAAUUUAGACGAUCUGAUCUUGAUUUACAUUCUUUGUGUAAAUGUGUGGACUAUUAUUGACUCUAGCAAUUUGAAUCACAUAAGACACAUGUCUAACUCAAUGUGAAAUGAAAUAUGCACUAAAUGUAUUGUUUGAAUUAUCACAAACUCACCUCUUGAUGACACCAUAGCCGUGGCUUCCCAUAACCAAGAUAUCAACACCCAUUUUUUGAACAGCCUGACAUAUUACAUCCCUAGGGUCACCAUUCUCUAUCCUCGUCUCCACCUAAACCACAUCACAAAUUAAUUAUUAAAUAAUUAACUAUUGAUAAAAAUGAGGAGGAACAUAUACACAUUAACUAGUAACAAUUGAUUAAUGUAUACAUAUACGUAUACUUACAUUUUGGACAUCAUUACAGACUAUCUUGGCUUUCUCCAAAACACAAUCAGCAACUUGUUGACUAUACUUCUCCAUGGUUGCCGUUAUGUCAGAAGAGAAUAGGUAUCCUAAAACAUAUACAUGAUACAAAAAUUAAUUAAAUGAGUUUACAAAAUUAAUAGAAAAUUCUUUGCUGCGUACCAUGAAAUUUUGUUUAAUUACCUGUGCCAUCAAAGGCAGAAUAAACAACACGAGGAGGCUUAACAUAGAGGAGGAUAAGGUGAUCUUUGGAAUUUUGAAAAACCAAAUUCUUGAGGCACCAUGUGAGAGCAUAAAUGCUCUCUUCUCCUUCAUCAAUAGCUACCAUGAUUCUUCUUCCGUUUUCUGUUAUGCCAGCCAUUUCACACUGCUUGAUAAUUCGGUUUGAGAUAGAUCACAAGGUUGGUUGAUUGAUAAUUGAGCAAAGAAAUAUUCAGUAGUUUGUAGAGGUAGAAACUUUAUAUAUAUUG
rnacentral:lncRNA from 1 species